rnacentral:hammerhead_ribozyme from 1 species
AUCCAGCUGAAGAGUCCAAAAUAGGACGAAACGCGCAUCCUGGAU